rnacentral:rRNA from 1 species
AGUCGAGCGGUAGAGAGAAGCUUGCUUCUCUUGAGAGCGGCGGACGGGUGAGUAAUGCCUAGGAAUCUGCCUGGUAGUGGGGGAUAACGUUCGGAAACGAACGCUAAUACCGCAUACGUCCUACGGGAGAAAGCAGGGGACCUUCGGGCCUUGCGCUAUCAGAUGAGCCUAGGUCGGAUUAGCUAGUUGGUGAGGUAAUGGCUCACCAAGGCGACGAUCCGUAACUGGUCUGAGAGGAUGAUCAGUCACACUGGAACUGAGACACGGUCCAGACUCCUACGGGAGGCAGCAGUGGGGAAUAUUGGACAAUGGGCGAAAGCCUGAUCCAGCCAUGCCGCGUGUGUGAAGAAGGUCUUCGGAUUGUAAAGCACUUUAAGUUGGGAGGAAGGGCAGUUACCUAAUACGUGAUUGUUUUGACGUUACCGACAGAAUAAGCACCGGCUAACUCUGUGCCAGCAGCCGCGGUAAUAC